rnacentral:rRNA from 1 species
UACAGAGGGUGCGAGCGUUAAUCGGAAUUACUGGGCGUAAAGCGUGCGCAGACGGUCACGUAAGUCGGGUGUGAAAGCCCCGGGCUCAACCUGGGAAUUGCAUUCGAGACUGCGUGGCUAGGGUGCGGAAGAGGGAAGCGGAAUUUCCGGUGUAGCGGUGAAAUGCGUAGAUAUCGGAAGGAACGACCAGUGGCGAAAGCGGA